UUCUGCUAUCAAAUGUUUAUGUGCCUAGAACUCACUGCCACCAGGACAGGCCGAAUGCAAGGGGCCACUAGGCUUGCUGAUGAAUGCAGAUAGACAUCAUGAUAGGCACUGAGGGAGCUGCAGUUCAGUGUCACCCAGGGUCUGAAGGCGUCAGUAGAGCAGAGGUCACUUACUUGGGUGCCAGGACCACAACAGCAAGCAUUAUUGAAUGCCCGCUCUAGACACCAAACACUCUGUUAGGUACCAGUGAUACAAAAAUCACGAAGGUUAAGAUCGCUGCCCUGGAGAAGCUCACGUGGCGGGAACAGACACACUGGUGUUGCCUACAGAGCCCUUCCAACGUGGUGAGACAAGGCUCCACGCAGAGCUGUGGCUGUAACUUCCCGCUGAAUGACUGUCAAUGUGCUACCCUAGUCAGAACUAGUAUUUUUAACAUUUUAUGAAUGCUUAUGAUAAAGACGUUUUGUUAGAAGGAUUUUAGGUGUGAUUAUUUAAAGGGGGUGAUUUCUGGGAAGAUGAGUCGCUGAAUCAUAAAAAAGAUGGUCAGAUGGAUUUCUUCUCCCAGAAGGCCCUCCUCCCCGGAGAAACUGGCUCAGCAGUGCUGGAGGCAGGGAGCCUGGGUACUUUCAGUCCCUGCAGCCUGUCCUCAACUAACAGAAGUGGACAGCCCCUUCCUAAAGGAGGUCCAAACCUCUUCUCUCCCACGUAGGAGCCCCCUCUUUACUUUAUCCACGACUGCAAUAAGUAUAUUCAGAUUCUACAGUGCAGUUAAGGUUAUGUUUAUGCAUGUGUAAGAAUGUCUUCUGGCCAUAACCACCCACCCUCCCUGUUUCACUGCCUUCUGGCUUCAGUGAAUCGCAGCCUCCGUGAAUAAAGCCAUU